rnacentral:sRNA from 1 species
AGCAGCCGCGGUAAUUCCAGCUCCAAUAGCGUAUAUUAAAGUUGUUGCAGUUAAAAAGCUCGUAGUUGAAUUUCGGGGUUAGUAGGUUGGUCAUGCCUCUGGUAUGUACUGGUCUCACUGAUUCCUCUUUCCUGAUGAACCGUAAUGCCAUUAAUUUGGUGUGGCGGGGAAUCAGGACUGUUACUUUGAAAAAUUAGAGUGUUUAAAGCAGGCUCGCGCUUGAAUACAUUAGCAUGGAAUAAUGAAAUAGGACGUUCGAUCCUAUUUUGUUGGUUUCUAGGAUUGACGUAAUGAUUAAUAGGGAUAGUUGGGGGCAUUAGUAUUCAAUUGUCAGAGGUGAAAUUCUUGGAUUUAUUGAAGACUAACUACUGCGAAAGCAUUUGCCAAGGAUGUUUUCAUUAAUCAAGAACGAAAGUUAGGGGAUCGAAGACGAUCAGAUACCGUCGUAGUCUUAACCAUAAACUAUGCCGACUAGGGAUCGGAUGAUGUUAUUUUAAUGACUCAUUCGGCUACCG